AGUUCACGUCAUGUAGUGUCUUAAUUAAUCGGAUCUGUAUAGAUGUAGUACGUUGUGUGUUUUUUGUGUUUGCCUUUUUCUGCCUUUCCUUUGCUUAGCAACAGAGAGUUCCUUCGAGCAAAGCUCUCGGUCUAUAAAGGGAGUCCGUGAGUUGUACGCGUGGACCGGUAGCACGUACGCAAAGAUGCAGGCAACUAAGCAAGUGCUUGUCUACUGGGCAUAUAUGAUUAUCUAGAAACCUCACGUUUUGUCAAUUUUUAGGAAUAGCAAACUCGAGGUAAAAGCUGCUACUGAUUAAGAUGGUACUACGUACGUACACGGCUUUAUCUGCAUGUCAUGUUAAUCAGGAUUGAAUCAGGAACUUCAGUUGGAGCAAAGGUUUGCAGUUUGCUUGUAGCUAGCUAGCCCGUUCUUCCGUGCUCGUUUUACCGACGACGUACUUUGAUUUGAGCAAUAUAUGACCCGACCGGCCAUGCAUGUCACUGUAGUUAGAGAAAAAAAAAUCAGCUUUAAGCAGCUAAAAAAAAGAAUUGCGUGAGUGGGACUCUGUUGUUGAUUGUAUGGACACGUUCAGAAAAGGCACGAAAAAGUAAUGUGAGCGGCAUGGAAUUAAACCGAACUCGCACAAAAGUUCAUCCGAAAAGUUUCGGCCGAGGGCACCCCAUACUAACAUUCAAUCAAUUUAACAAUACCCGGAACCACCAUCUCGCUUAAAGCCUCCAAUUGGCAGCAGCGGGGACGGCCGGAUGGGAGACUCCAGACUCCACAAUUGGCACUUUGGCAGCAGCA
rnacentral:lncRNA from 1 species